GAUGAACGCUGGCGGCGUGCCUAAUACAUGCAAGUCGAGCGAACAGACGAGGAGCUUGCUCCUCUGACGUUAGCGGCGGACGGGUGAGUAACACGUGGAUAACCUACCUAUAAGACUGGGAUAACUUCGGGAAACCGGAGCUAAUACCGGAUAAUAUAUUGAACCGCAUGGUUCAAUAGUGAAAGACGGUUUUGCUGUCACUUAUAGAUGGAUCCGCGCCGCAUUAGCUAGUUGGUAAGGUAACGGCUUACCAAGGCAACGAUGCGUAGCCGACCUGAGAGGGUGAUCAGCCACACUGGAACUGAGACACGGUCCAGACUCCUACGGGAGGCAGCAGUGGGGAAUCUUCCGCAAUGGGCGAAAGCCUGACGGAGCAACGCCGCGUGAGUGAUGAAGGUCUUCGGAUCGUAAAACUCUGUUAUUAGGGAAGAACAAAUGUGUAAGUAACUAUGCACGUCUUGACGGUACCUAAUCAGAAAGCCACGGCUAACUACGUG
rnacentral:rRNA from 1 species